rnacentral:rRNA from 1 species
GAUGAACGCUGGCGGCGUGCCUAAUACAUGCAAGUCGAGCGAACAGAUAAGGAGCUUGCUCCUUUGACGUUAGCGGCGGACGGGUGAGUAACACGUGGGUAACCUACCUAUAAGACUGGAAUAACUCCGGGAAACCGGGGCUAAUGCCGGAUAACAUGUUGAACCGCAUGGUUCUACAGUGAAAGGCGGCUUUGCUGUCACUUAUAGAUGGACCCGCGCCGUAUUAGCUAGUUGGUGGGGUACCGGCUCACCAAGGCAACGAUACGUAGCCGACCUGAGAGGGUGAUCGGCCACACUGGAACUGAGACACGGUCCAGACUCCGACGGGAGGCAGCAGUAGGGAAUCGUCCGCAAUGGGCGAAAGCCUGACGGAGCAACGCCGCGUGAGUGAUGAAGGGCUUCGGAUCGUAAAACGCUGUUAUGAGGGAAGAACAAAUGCGUAAGUAACUGUGCGCGUCUUGACGGUACCGAAUCAGAAAGCCACGGCUAACUACGU